ACCGAAUAGAUACCCCGGUAGUCCACGCCGUAAACGUUGGGCGCUAGGUGUGGGGGUCCUUCCACGACCUCCGUGCCGCAGCUAAACGCAUUAAAGCGCCCCGCCUGGGGAGUACGGCCGCAAGGCUAAAACUCAAAGGAAUUGACGGGGGCCCGCACAAGCGGCGGAGCAUGCGGAUUAAUUCGAUGCAACGCGAAGAACCUUACCAAGGCUUGACAUGUACAGGAAAGUUCCAGAGAUGGUUCCCCCGCAAGGUCUGUACACAGGUGGUGCAUGGUUGUCGUCAGCUCGUGUCGUGAGAUGUUGGGUUAAGUCCCGCAACGAGCGCAACCCUCGUCUUAUGUUGCCAGCACGUAAUGGUGGGAACUCAUAAGAGACUGCCGGGGUCAACUCGGAGGAAGGUGGGGAUGACGUCAAAUCAUCAUGCCCCUUAUGUCUUGGGCUUCACGCAUGCUACAAUGGCCGGUACAAUGGGCUGCAAUACCGCGAGGUGGAGCGAAUCCCAAAAAGCCGGUCUCAGUUCGGAUUGGGGUCUGCAACUCGACCCC
rnacentral:rRNA from 1 species